CAUAGGUUAAUGAGGCGAACCGGGGGAACUGAAACAUCUAAGUACCCCGAGGAAAAGAAAUCAACCGAGAUUCCCCCAGUAGCGGCGAGCGAACGGGGAGCAGCCCAGAGCCUGAAUCAGUGUGUGUGUUAGUGGAAGCGUCUGGAAAGGCGCGCGAUACAGGGUGACAGCCCCGUACACAAAAAUGCACAUACUGUGAGCUCGAUGAGUAGGGCGGGACACGUGGUAUCCUGUCUGAAUAUGGGGGGACCAUCCUCCAAGGCUAAAUACUCCUGACUGACCGAUAGUGAACCAGUACCGUGAGGGAAAGGCGAAAAGAACCCCGGCGAGGGGAGUGAAAAAGAACCUGAAACCGUGUACGUACAAGCAGUGGGAGCACGCUUAGGCGUGUGACUGCGUACCUUUUGUAUAAUGGGUCAGCGACUUAUAUUCUGUAGCAAGGUUAACCGAAUAGGGGAGCCGAAGGGAAACCGAGUCUUAACUGGGCGUUAAGUUGCAGGGUAUAGACCCGAAACCCGGUGAUCUAGCCAUGGGCAGGUUGAAGGUUGGGUAACACUAACUGGAGGACCGAACCGACUAAUGUUGAAAAAUUAGCGGAUGACUUGUGGCUGGGGGUGAAAGGCCAAUCAAACCGGGAGAUAGCUGGUUCUCCCCGAAAGCUAUUUAGGUAGCGCCUCGUGAAUUCAUCUCCGGGGGUAGAGCACUGUUUCGGCAAGGGGGUCAUCCCGACUUACCAACCCGAUGCAAACUGCGAAUACCGGAGAAUGUUAUCACGGGAGACACACGGCGGGUGCUAACGUCCGUCGUGAAGAGGGAAACAACCCAGACCGCCAGCUAAGGUCCCAAAGUCAUGGUUAAGUGGGAAACGAUGUGGGAAGGCCCAGACAGCCAGGAUGUUGGCUUAGAAGCAGCCAUCAUUUAAAGAAAGCGUAAUAGCUCACUGGUCGAGUCGGCCUGCGCGGAAGAUGUAACGGGGCUAAACCAUGCACCGAAGCUGCGGCAGCGACGCUGAUGCGUUGUUGGGUAGGGGAGCGUUCUGUAAGCCUGUGAAGGUGUGCUGUGAGGCAUGCUGGAGGUAUCAGAAGUGCGAAUGCUGACAUAAGUAACGAUAAAGCGGGUGAAAAGCCCGCUCGCCGGAAGACCAAGGGUUCCUGUCCAACGUUAAUCGGGGCAGGGUGAGUCGACCCCUAAGGCGAGGCCGAAAGGCGUAGUCGAUGGGAAACAGGUUAAUAUUCCUGUACUUGGUGUUACUGCGAAGGGGGGACGGAGAAGGCUAUG
rnacentral:rRNA from 1 species